GACGAACGCUGGCGGCGUGCUUAACACAUGCAAGUCGUACGAGAAUAAAGUAGCAAUACUUUUAGUAAAGUGGCGCACGGGUGAGUAACACGUAAGCAACCUACCUUCAGGUUUGGAAUAACUCCGAGAAAUCGAAGCUAAUACUGGAUGAUGCAGCGUCACCGCAUGGUGAUGUUGUUAAAGUCUAUAAGGCACCUGAAGAUGGGUUUGCGUCCGAUUAGCUAGUUGGUAAGGUAACGGCUUACCAAGGCAACGAUCGGUAGCUGGUCUGAGAGGAUGAUCAGCCACACUGGAACUGAGACACGGUCCAGACUCCUACGGGAGGCAG
rnacentral:rRNA from 1 species